AGAUAGAGUCGGUAACUUUGGCUGAGCUUAAUUCCUUUGUUUUGAACGCCUCCCCACUGGUAAACACAAGAUAACCUUUGCCUCUCUUAAUUUACAUUGUUGUAGAACGUUAAGUUCCUAUGCACUGGGGUAGUAAGUGGCAUUGAUACCAUCUACUGAUGGUGCUACAUUUCGUGCACUAAGAUUUUUCGCAUACUGUAACGAGGCUUCUCCUCCUUCACUUGCGUUUCAUGUAAUAAAGAGAAUUCAAUUGGGGUUGUGAGGUAAUGUUUUAUCAGCACAAAAUUCUUCCUCCUUCCAGCUUUGUUGAUAGUAAACUUUUAUAGACAUUAUAUGUCACAUUCUGAAAUUGUUAAUGUGACAGUCUCCGAUGCAUCUGACUCAACUGAGUUUGUAGCUUUUGAUACUGUAAUAAGUUAGUUGACAAAUACCAGGGUUGGAGAGGUCUCCCAACAAAUGAACGCAGGGCUCCAAGACCCCCGGAGUUCGGCCCUUCUAUAAUGCAUCAAAAAAAAAUUUCGGCCGCACCUUCACCUUCCAGUUGAAGGUUUCUCGAUUCAACUUCUCAUCCAAACAGCAGAGCUCAUAUACAAUUGUCACUAGCGCCCAGCCCAACCAAAUUUUGAGAAUCAAGUAGCAAUGACAACCCGGUGAUUACAUGUCUGGUGGUGGAGCUGUGAAAAGAAGUUAUCCAUGUGAGAACAUGAGGGACUCAGACAUUAGAAGAAGCACUGCUGAUGGGAAUGGUGAUGGGCAAACAACUGUUCUAAGUGAACCAAAUGAGUCACCUGUAGCUGACAAGAAUACAUGAGAGGAUGCAGCAGUUCUGGAGGAAGGGCGCUCCACAAAGAAGAAGAGAAACAAUGAUAUUAUUAACAAGUUUGAUGACUGAUUGACUACGAAGAUGCGUUCACAUGAACAUUGCAUUGAAGACUUAAAAAAAAAAUCACUUUGUAUAAACUAAGACAUUUUCCUUAAACCAUGUCAUUGUUUUAAUAAGUUAAGUUUCUCCAGCUAAUCUAUGUCCAGAAAUAUUUUUUUAAUACAAUGAAUCGGCUACAUCAUAUAAAUCCACAGUUUAAAUAAAAAUGUAUACGUUGACAAAAAAAAUUGUAUAGAAUAAAAGGUAAAACAAACAUAUAAAAGGAAAAAUAAUAUAUGCUAACACAAUCGACCACAAUUUUUUUAAUAUAAUUCUUAUUAUCUUUGUAAAUUUAGAAAAACAUUUCAAAAAAUUAAAACAAAUUUGUUUUCAUGAAAAACAAUAAUGGUCGAACAAGUAUAUAAAUGAAAAAAUAAAAUAGAUAGUAUUUUUUGAAA